rnacentral:lncRNA from 10 species
AGAAACUGCCUGUUCAAGAAAUCUGGAAGUGCAGGAAGCAGAGGGAAUCUUGGGCAGCCUCAUAGUAAUUUUCGAUAGUAUACUGGGACUUGCAAGUCCUGUCCCAGCUACUGCUGGAGAAGAGUGGCUUCUCUUUCUCUUCCCCUUCCAAAUCCUGGUGAGAUCCCUUCCUUUGAAGCGUCUGACCUGGAAUCCUAGUGAGACUAAAUUAUGAGUUCCAAUUCUGGGUAGGGCUUUCAAAAUAGAGCCCUGACCAGUGCUGAAUCAACUUGAAGAAUGAUGAAGGGUUGGCUUCUCUCUCUCAGCAGCUGUGAGUUUGGUCAGCCCUUUGCAAAGUAAGAGGAAAUUUAAUGAACCUAAAUAAGACAUGAUCCUUUGUGGCUAUAAAAGUUACACUUUGAAAAAAGCUCAGCUGGUCAAGAGCCACUUGAAAAUGAUGUUACUGCAGGGGAACUCUGUCAAAAGUCUACUCCUCUUGAUUUCCUCCUAGGCACUUUUGUCUGAACCACGUGGCACAAAUUGGCAGAGAACAAGGAAAAGAAGAACAGAGGAAGGAGAAAAGGAGAAAAGUCAUUCUGCUGAAAACGAGCUGACUGAGUUGGCUUGGCUGUACAUAGGAGGAAGACCCUGAUCCCUGGUGCUCAACACAGAAAUGCUUCAAUGAUACCCUGAGAUUGUUUUACCUUGCAACACUCUCUGGAAAAUUGCUGCUCCAGGAAUGCGAUGAAAAGAUCUGUAAGAGAGCACAGCCCCUGUUGAUUGACUUGUCUUGAUCAAACCAGAGCUUCUGGCUGGGAUACUGGUAUCUUGAGUGAGUCACAGCAGGAGAUACGUGCUGGAGCUGAAGAGGUUGGAGAGGCAGCAGAAAAGGUAGGAGACAGCAAGAGAAGGAGAGCAGCCUACAGAUGAGAAGACAAGUAAUUUACCCUAAAGUUCUAGGACUGCUGUUGGUCAAAGGAAAAAUCCUUCUGAGAGAUUUUGAUUUUAGGUUUUGAUUCUACUUCUGUUUCUAUGAAUGCUAGAGAGA